CUCGCGGCCUAUCAGCUUGUUGGUGGGGUAAUGGCCUACCAAGGCGACGACGGGUAGCCGGCCUGAGAGGGCGACCGGCCACACUGGGACUGAGACACGGCCCAGACUCCUACGGGAGGCAGCAGUGGGGAAUAUUGCACAAUGGGGGAAACCCUGAUGCAGCGACGCAGCGUGCGGGAUGACGGCCUUCGGGUUGUAAACCGCUUUCAGCAGGGAAGAAGCGAAAGUGACGGUACCUGCAGAAGAAGUACCGGCUAACUACGUGCCAGCAGCCGCGGUAAUACGUAGGGUACGAGCGUUGUCCGGAAUUAUUGGGCGUAAAGAGCUCGUAGGUGGUUGGUCACGUCUGCUGUGGAAACGCAACGCUUAACGUUGCGCGGGCAGUGGGUACGGGCUGACUAGAGUGCAGUAGGGGAGUCUGGAAUUCCUGGUGUAGCGGUGAAAUGCGCAGAUAUCAGGAGGAACACCGGUGGCGAAGGCGGGACUCUGGGCUGUAACUGACACUGAGGAGCGAAAGCAUGGGGAGCGAACAGGAUUAGAUACCCUGGUAGUCCAUGCCGUAAACGUUGGGCACUAGGUGUGGGGGACAUUCCACGUUCUCCGCGCCGUAGCUAACGCA
rnacentral:rRNA from 1 species